AGGAAGGGAAACCACAGCUUUAAACGAAGACAACCAAAAGAAUGCAAACUGGAUUUAUCAGAGAUAUUUGACUUUUAAAAAUCUCAAUAAAGUUUUCCAGUUUUCUCCAAA
rnacentral:sRNA from 1 species